rnacentral:lncRNA from 1 species
UGUCAUCCUUGAAGAUACUGUUGGUGGAAUUAAUCGCUUCUCCAUAUACCAGAGCACUGACAUCUUGAAUUUGUUACAUCAAAGGAUAUUGACUGAGAAGACAAAUAAUUAAAUGACCCGUAACACAGCUGGAAAACUUUACCAUAGAAGCAAUGGUACCAGGACUGGCAGCGAAGGAGAAUACCCAAGAAGAACAGAAAUUACAUGCAGGAGAUUUACAGCUAUUCAGGGUGAAAGAUGCUGUGUUGUCUUCUUACAGAACAUCCUAAAAUCUGGAAAAUCAGAAUGUGAUGCAGUUUUGAGUUGACAAGUGAGCCUGGUGAAAAGAAAAGGCCACAUUUCUGGAUUUUCAGCUGAAGUAACCCAGCCGUUUACAGAAGCAGCAGCGGAAUGGCAGUUUCCAUGACAGCUGGUAAGCAGAUCACUGUGGUGCUUUGGAAGCUUAAAACCUUACUAGCUGUUAGUCAGUGGCCAACCUGUUCAGGCAGUCCAAGGCAGAAACACUUAUCCUACAGUUGUCUUCCACUUUGGUGCAGAGAAACAUGGACCUGAAGAGUGUGCAAGGCUGCAGGGAUAUGAAAAAAUAAAACUCACAGGACAAGCA